rnacentral:lncRNA from 1 species
CAGACCAUGGGGGCCAGCCAGUGACUAUCAAGGUGACUUGGAGUGACCUUAUGUGCCUUUGUAUGUAUGUCUUCUUGGAGGUAAAACUGGAGCAGCCAUGCCUAGGGCUGUUCAAAGUGAAAAGACCAUGUAUGCAAAAUACCCAGAACCAUCCUAGGACACAGUGAGUGCUCAGCAACAGGCACUUAAAUCACUUUAGUGGCUGCUCUUUGCUGAGAAGCUUAUUUUCUCCACAAAUAAAGAGCUGAAAAGUCCCUUCUGCUCUGGAGCAGAUCGGGCCAAGGAAGAACAGACGGGAAGACCUAGAAUUAAAUCCAUAUUCAGGAAGGAAAGCGCUGUUCUCAGCAGAAAUCCCAACAGUAGCCACUGUUAAUUAACGAAGACAACAGUCAGCAUAGGCGUCUUGAGCCUCAGCCAGUCACAGACAGCCUCGCUCCAGUAACUACGCUCCAGAGCCAGAGUCAAAAAAGACAGCCAAUCAGGGAAGACAGCCGGUAAGCGAGGGCCUCGGGUGACGUCAAAGGCAGCCUUCAGCUGAUGAGCUAACACAGCUGAAAGUCCUGAGAUGCCUCCACACUUCCUCUUCUGAAAGCCCGCCAGGCUCUGAACGCCAAGUUCCCAAAAGCCUCAUAAAACCUGUUCUGGGCUGCUGAGGAGACAUUGUGAACAUGCGCAGAUGUCUUUUUCUGGCAAACAGGAAGUUCUUUUUUUCCUUCAGAUGCCAAGUUCAGUUUUAUGAAAUCUUAACCGCUGGAUACCUCCACCCUUCCGCCAUCCUUGUUUAUGGUUUACUGUGAGUUCAGACUUGUGAGUGACAGGUGAAAGAAAGCGCUUUGCAUUUAGCAAAUUCAGUAUUUUUCGUUCUUGUGCUGGCUUCUAUUAUCUGUUCUUUUAUUUGUUCAUAUAGAAAACCACAAAUGCCAGGGGGAAGCAUAUAUUUUCUUAGUUAUGGGUAUUUAUCAAGCGAGGAAAGAGCCCCCUAACGUUCCUUGUGCAUCAUGCAGUUGUUCAUUUAAUAGAAAAACAGUAGAAAGACUAAUAAACUAGCAUCUAUUGACAGGCAUAAAGAAAACGCAUGAGCCGGGCGUUGGUGGCGCACGCCUUAUUUAAUCUCAGCACUCGGGAGGCAGAGGCAGGCGGAUCUCUGUGAGUUCGAGACCAGCCUGGUCUACAGAGCGAGUUCCAGGACAACCUCCAAAGCAAUACAGAGAAACCCUGUCUCGAAAAACCAAAACCAAAAGGAAAAAGGAAGGAAGAAAGGAAGGAAGGAAGGAAGGAAGGAAGGAAGGAAGGAAGGAAGGAAGGAAGGAAGAAGAAAAUGCAUGAGCAGGGCUUGAUGGCUCAUGCCUUUUAUCCCAGCACUCUGGAGGAUCUCUGUGAGUUCAAAGCCAUUCAGA